AGAGAGAGAGAGGAGAAAAGGAAAGAAAAAGCAGGGGACUUCUUCAGCUGCAAUUUUGAUCGUUCUGGAUUUCUCCAGAUAUUUCUCACCACUUGUUUCAGGGCCUAUGUCGUUGUUACUUUCCCCCCACGUACAUGAAGGACCCCCCUGACUUCCUUUGCAGUCUGAAUCACUGUGGUAUGCAGUUUGGGAAAAGGUGGCAGGACGUGUCAAGGGAUAAGACAAUAAGGAGCGUGGCACUUUGUGACAGAAUUCCAUGGCUAAACGGCAGCCUGAUGUACAUGCUCCAAACUUUGCUCAACUUGGGCAAUGGCAGUUUGCUUCCUAAGCAGAUGUUCUCAGAGGCAGGAUUGGUGGGGAGCAAGACCUUCUCAGUAGGUGAACUCUCUUUGGAACUUCCUGCCCAGUCAUGCCCACCUUACACGAUCUUGCACUUCUCUCAAUAUUUAAUGAAAAGUUAGCUGCUUGAAAGAGAGAGCUUUCCUAUAGUUGAUUACUGGUUUUGCUUUUAACCAGCACAUUCUGAAAACCUACCGGUGCAUCCAAACAUUUUAGGGCCACCAGGGUUGGUUUGUGCAUACAGUCAAUUACUGUGAAGACUGUAUUAUUGUAUUAUUGCCAAUAUUAUAAUAUGAUGAUUGUAUUAAUAUGUUAUUGUCCAUUUUACAUCACACAUAUUUUAUAAUAUGAUGAAUUGUAUAUUAUUAUUAUUGUAUGAUUUUAUGAUAGCACCUGAAAAACUCUUAUGAUCUAUUUAUAUUAUUUUUAUUGGUUUAAUGUAUUUUUUAUUCUGUACAACACUCAAAUUUUCUAAUACAUCAAUUAAUAAAAGUUGCUUCUGAAA